UACACUCCUGCGGGAGGCAGCAGUGGGGAAUUUUGGACAAUGGGCGAAAGCCUGAUCCAGCAAUGCCGCGUGCAGGAUGAAGGCCUUCGGGUUGUAAACUGCUUUUGUACGGAACGAAAAAGCUCCUUCUAAUACAGGGGGCCCAUGACGGUACCGUAAGAAUAAGCACCGGCUAACUACGUGCCAGCAGCCGCGGUAAUACGUAGGGUGCGAGCGUUAAUCGGAAUUACUGGGCGUAAAGCGUGCGCAGGCGGUUAUGUAAGACAGAUGUGAAAUCCCCGGGCUCAACCUGGGAACUGCAUUUGUGACUGCAUGGCUAGAGUACGGUAGAGGGGGAUGGAAUUCCGCGUGUAGCAGUGAAAUGCGUAGAUAUGCGGAGGAACACCGAUGGCGAAGGCAAUCCCCUGGACCUGUACUGACGCUCAUGCACGAAAGCGUGGGGAGCAAACAGGAUUAGAAACCCCUGUAGUCCCA
rnacentral:rRNA from 1 species